rnacentral:lncRNA from 1 species
CAGAGAGUGAAGCCUGAGCUGCAGGAGGAGAGCCUGCAGGCCUCCUGGGUAGGAAUGCACCUUCACAAUAAUGAGAACGGGAACAGUUUUAGGCUCAGUUUCUAUUUAUAAUGGUGACAUGGAAAACAUUCUGCUGGAUUUCCAGCAUGAGUCUGUAAAGAGACAGCUCCAAGAGUUCCAUUGUGACAGCCCACCUCAUUCACAGACACUGUGAAAUGCUAAAAUGGCUUCUGAAACAGACACUCAAAGCAUUGGAGAGAAAAACAGCUCUCAGUCUCAGAAAGAUUAUACCGAGAGAAAAAAUAAGUUAAAUGUAUCUUGAGAAAAAACUCAGAUUACAUGUAAGAUUGAUGAAGUCAGCCAGAAAAUAUUUCCCUAUAAAAUAUUUCUCUCUAAAUACCCAAAUUACACAGCUACUCUCAGCAUGAGAAACAUGAGCAUUACGAAAAAGGGAGCAUAUUCUCAGCAGAAUUUUAUAAGAUUCCUCCAUCUCUGCUGCUCUCUCAUCUUUUAGCCAUUGAAAGGGGGAUUCUAUUGGAAUACAUCACACUACAUCCACCAGCACUUUU